GUCUGCAACUCGACCCCAUGAAGUUGGAAUCGCUAGUAAUCGCAGAUCAGCACGCUGCGGUGAAUACGUUCCCGGGCCUUGUACACACCGCCCGUCACACCAUGGGAGUUGGCUUUACCUGAAGACGGUGCGUUAACCCGCAAGGGAGACAGCCGGCCACGGUAGGGUCAGCGACUGGGGUGAAGUCGUAACAAGGUAGCCGUAA
rnacentral:rRNA from 1 species